rnacentral:lncRNA from 1 species
GGCUAUAUGACCUAUCCCACUGCCAAACAUCUUCAGCCUGGUCCUACAUCUGCUGGCUAGAAAAGCUUGGUGGAGGCAUUGGAGGCCUACCCACCUGAGCACCGGGAGUGAAAUUUGCCAUUGUUCCACUGCCACCAGGCGGAGGUGGUGGAGCAGGUGGAGUUCCCCCUGGAGGCAUAGGCCUAGGACCAUUUGUCAUGGGAGGUGGAGGAGGGGGUAAUGAUCCAGGCAUUGGUGGCGGAGGUGGUCUAGAUCCUGCUGGUAGUCCUUGUGAUGGAGGUGGUGGAGGAGGUGGAGCUUGGGGAGGUGGUGGCAAAGACCUCGGUGGGACACCAGGAGCUCCUGUGCCAUUUGCUGCAGGCGCAGAUUGAGGUUUGUUUGCCUCUGGAGGCUUGGUUUUGAAAUAUAACUGCAACUGC